rnacentral:miRNA from 1 species
UACUCGUGAAAAUGCUGGGUGUGGUAGCACUCACCUGUAACAGCACUGGGGAGGCAGAGGCAGGAGGAU